GAAAUGCGAUAAGUAAUGUGAAUUGCAGAAUUCCGUGAAUCAUCGAAUCUUUGAACGCACAUUGCGCCCUCUGGCAUUCCGGGGGGCAUGCCUGUCCGAGCGUCAUUACGCACCCUCAAGCCCGGCUUGUGUUGGGGACCUGCGGCUGCCGCAGGCCCCGAAAACCAGUGGCGGGCUCGCUGUCACACCGGGCGUAGUAGAUUUUUCGUCUCGCCCAGGGCGUGCUGCGGGUUCCGGCCGUUAAAAAGCCUCUCUUUUUAACCCAAGGUUGACCUCGGAUCAGGUAGGAAGACCCGCUGAACUUAAGC
rnacentral:misc_RNA from 1 species